UGGCUCGGGGGCGUGGCCACGUGGAGGGUUUUCUGCGUGCGCGCAUGCUCCUUCAGUGAAACUGCAGUUUAAAUUCAGCCGCGGCGGCCAGGCUCGCUUGCCGGCCUCAGUGAGGCGGUCCUGCGGUGGCGAUCGAGUUCGGUGCUGUGUGGGAGAAGCGCUGCGACCGAAGGCAGAGAGGGCAAUGGCUGACGAAAACCAGGAGAUUGGUGGCAUCCAUUUUCCUUUUCCCUUCCCGCCCUAUCCUAUCCAGAAAGACUUCAUGGCAGAGCUCUACAAGGUUUUGGAAGGUGGCAAGAUUGGGAUAUUUGAAAGUCCAACUGGCACGGGAAAGUCCUUAAGUCUGAUUUGUGGGGCCCUUUCCUGGCUGCGUGACUUUGAAAAGAAGAAAUUGCAAGCAGAGGCUCUUCUCCUUGCACCUGGAUCCGGCCCUCCAAGUAGUGAGAAGAACUCGCUCCUGACUUCCUCAUCUUGCCAAGAACCUACGGACACCCCGAGGCCUGCUGGAGAGCCUGACUGGGUCACCGAAUUUGUGCAGAAGAAAGAAGAAAGGGACCUGGUGGAGAGGCUAAGGGAGGAGCAGGUGAGGAGGAGGAAGCGAGAGGAGCGACUGAAGGAGGUCUGCCAGGAUGGGAGGCUCAGGUUUGCAGCCAAGCGCACGAAACAUGAGGAAGAGGAGACUGAGGCUCUCCUGCGCCUCAGCAGGGAGAUGCUGGAUGCAGGGACAGGACCAGAGCAGCUGGAGCAGCUGGAGUGUGGGGAGGAGCACCUGGUUCUGGCAGAAUAUGAGAGUGAUGAGGAGAGAAGAGGCAGCAGGGUGGACGAGGCUGAGGAUGACUUGGAGGAAGAACAUAUAACCAAGAUUUAUUACUGCAGUCGGACACACUCACAGCUGGCCCAGUUUGUGCGGGAAGUACUGAAGAGCCCUUUUGGCAAGGAGACCCGGCUAGUCUCACUUGGCUCUAGGCAGACCCUUUGUGUGAAUGAAGAUGUGAAAAACCUGGGUUCUGUGCAACUUAUGAAUGACCGCUGUGUGGACAUGCAAAGAAGCAAACGCGAAAAGAACGGGACUGGGGAAGACAAGCCAAAGAGAAAGAGACAGAAGAUCCAGACCUCUUGCCCCUUCUACAACCACGAGCAGAUGGAGCUUCUCCGGGAUGAGAUUCUGCUGGAAGUGAAGGACAUGGAACAACUUGUGGCCCUUGGGAAGGAGGCCCGGGCCUGCCCCUAUUACGGAAGCCGCUUUGCCAUCCCUGCAGCCCAGCUAGUGGUGCUACCCUACCCAAUGUUGCUGCAUGCAGCUACCCGACAGGCUGCGGGAAUCCGGCUACAAGGUCAGGUGGUCAUUAUUGACGAGGCUCACAACCUGAUCGACACCAUCACCAACAUCCACAGCACAGAGGUCAAUGGUUCCCAGAUGCCCAUCACCUUGAUGGCACCCGUGUGUCCUGGGCUGGCAUUUCCUAGAUCUCUACAGAGAUCCUCUGAAUCCUAUCCUGGGCUGCCUUCAGGCUGUUCUGUUUUCUCUCCAGCUCUGCCAGGCCCAUUCCCAGUUGCUCCAGUACAUGGAAAGAUACAGGAAGCGUUUAAAGGCCAAGAACUUGAUGUACAUCAAGCAGAUCCUGUACUUGCUGGAGAAGUUUGUGGCUGUUUUGGGAGGUAAUGUUAAGCAAAAUCCUACUACACAGAGCCUGUCUCAAACAGGGUCUGAGCUGAAGAGCAUCAACGACUUUCUCUUUCAGAGCCAGGUGGACAACAUCAACCUCUUCAAGGUGCAGCGGUACUUGGAGAAGAGCAUGCUCAGCAGGAAGCUCUUUGGCUUCACAGAAUGUUUCGGAGUGGUUCUUCCAUCCCUCUCAGACUCUCAGGAAAACCGAGGUCUGGCUGGCUUCCAGCAGUUCCUGAAGAGCCUGCAGUCAGGGCCUACUGAGGACUCCCCGGAGGAGGGCCAGGCUGUAGCCCUGCGGCCUGCCUCUCCACUGAUGCACAUCGAGGCCUUCCUGGCAGCUCUCACCACAGCCAAUCAGGAUGGCAGGGUUAUUGUGAACCGCCAAGGCAGUGUGGGUCAGAGCAGCCUUAAAUUCUUACUCUUGAACCCAGCUGUGCACUUUGCCCAGGUGGUGAAGGAAUGCCGAGCAGUGGUCAUUGCAGGUGGCACCAUGCAGCCGAUGUCUGACUUUCGGGAGCAGCUGCUGGCAUGUUCUGGAGUAGAAGCGGGGCGAGUGGUGGAGUUUUCCUGUGGUCACGUGAUCCCUCCAGACAACAUCUUGCCCCUUAUUAUAUGCAGUGGGCCCUCUAACCAGCAGCUGGAAUUCACCUACCAGAGAAGAGAGCUGCCUCAGAUGGUGGAGGAGACAGGCCGCAUUCUCUGUAACUUGUGCAAUGUGGUCCCUGGAGGUGUGGUAUGCUUUCUCCCUUCUUAUGAGUACCUGCGCCAGGUACAUGCUCACUGGGACAAGACUGGCCUGCUGACACGUUUGUCUGUCAGGAAAAAGAUAUUUCAAGAGCCCAAAAGAGCGAGCCAGGUGGAGCAGGUGCUGAUGGCGUAUUCCAAGUGCAUUAUGGUGAGAGGUGGAAGUGAGGCUGGCUCCAGAGACCACCAGUGUCUGUCAGCUGGGAACAGUCGUAUGACUCAUAGAUUUGGCUCAGGAACCCUGGUGUGAUUGUCCCCUGACAGAGCUGCAGUCACUCAGAAGGCCAUCUGACAGGGGCCUUGCUCCUCUCUGUGGUUGGAGGGAAGAUGAGUGAAGGGAUCAAUUUCUCUGAUGACCUGGGCCGGUAGGUGUGGUGUCCUCUUUGUCUGCUGGGGCUCAAGGCAUGCAUGCCAUAGGGUCAGCACCCAUAUGGCCUGCUUGGGGUCUGUAGGCUGUGGGUGGAUUAUUUGACAUUACUGUCAAUCUGGCUGUGUAGACCAGAGAAGUAGGAGCCGUGACUUGCUUAGGAUCCUGGUCUUCUGCCUAGGUUAGAUCUCUGAGCUAAAAAUUAUACCUCCAUGGCAAGAACCCGAGGGCCAUAAAAGUGGUAGGAGGGAUGGGGCAUGGAUCAGUGAGUGAGGAUGCAUGCUCAGAAGACACAGCAACAACUUUGCAGCACACACACACACACACACACACACACACACACACACACACAAGCCUGCAUGGUUGUAUUUACCAGUAAGCACUGUGUGUCAGAGAUGACAGGCCCCUGGGUAGUUCUGCUCAUGGACCCUAGGAUUGUGUGAACUUCAGAUUUAGUGAAAAACCAUGUCUCAGAGAAAAAGGUGAAGAGUGUCGGAGGGACAACACCUGACAUCUUCCUCUGGCCUCCACACGCAUGUGUAUAGGCACAUACACCCUAAAAGGCCAUGAAACCACAUGUAACUUGUUCUAAAUAUCAGUGAUAGCUGCAUGCUGACUUGAUGCUUUAGGCCGUGUGUGUGACCCACUACAGGUGUGUGGUGAUGGUGGGGAUGCCAUAUCCCAACAUUAAGUCUCCAGAGCUGCAAGAGAAGAUGGCCUACUUGAAUCAGACACUUCCUAGGACACAAGGUCAGCCCCUGCCAGGGACGGUAUUGAUAGAGAAUCUGUGUAUGAAGGCUAUAAACCAAUCCAUAGGCAGGGCCAUUAGGCACCAGAGGGACUUUGCCAGCAUUGUGCUCCUGGAUCACCGGUAUGCGCGUCCUUCUAUUCUGGCGAAGCUGCCAGCCUGGAUACGAGACCGAGUGGAGGUCAAAGCUACCUUUGGGCCUGCAUUUGCUGCUGUGCGGAAGUUUCAUCGAGAGAAGUCACACCCAAGUCUGGUAUAAGCGUCUCAUACCCUGCUUGACCUGGCCUUUGUAUUUGGCCUAAGAAGAUAGAAACCAUAUGCAGACUGCCAAGUGUACCCCAGCCUUCCAGAGGCAGUGGACUCUAGUGUUCAACUUGCAUAGAAAAGCCAGCAGAACAUCCUGAAGGAACCUGGCCCGAGACACCUUAUUCCCUGCUCAGGUUCAACUUUCCGCCUGGCUUCAGGAGGCUGUGCUAGCAGCAGCUUUCUGCCUGUUCUGAGGUGAGACCCACCUGCCUCUGCCCUUUCUGGAGACAGUUAGCUUUUCUUGGCCUUUGACUCCCAUCUCAGGCACCGAUGUCCCCGUUUCAAGCAUCAUUGCCUGACCCACUGCAGUAUGACACACACACCAUCUGUGCAGAAGAGAGUUUUGAGAAAAAACUAGGACAUACAUAAUAUUGAAAGAGCUGACAUGAAUUUUGACUUUUCUGAAGGACCAUCACAAAGACUUGGACCCUGGCCAUAGACCUUUCUGUGUCCCACAAUUUUUUCUCCUUCUACUUUUCCUCAUAAACUAAGAGGCAUUGAUCCUGUCCAUGGCUGUUCAGGACUCUGUGCUCAGAACAUCUACCUGAAGACAUGUCAUUGGGCAAAAGUGUCUCCGUGUUUUUCAUUUUUUUCUGCUGUCCCAUGAAGGAGAACCCCAGUUAAGAGUCCAGCUCCUUUAUAUUCAACUGUGGCUGUCCCUUGUGUGAGCUUCAGCAACCUCAGGGGCAGUGCCCUUGCCAUUUAGGCAAUACACUGGUUGCAUACUGCUUGCAAACUGAGAGGAGCCAUAGAAGAGGACUUCUUUUUCACAGUUCUUGUGCCGCUUACAGCUCAAAAGAAUUCCAUUCUUGAAUCUUCCUCAGAUUGAAAUGGUAAGGCUUCUCCAAGCAGUGGUGGCCCACGCCUUUAAUCCCAGCACUUGGGAAGCAGAGGCAGGUGAAUUUCUGAGUUCGAGGCCAGCCUGGUCUACAAAGUGAGUUCCAGGGCAGCCAAGGCUAUACAGAGAAACCCUGUCUUGAAAACAAACAAACAAACAAACAAAUGGUAAGGCCUCAUACCUGAGGGAUAGUGUUUAGAGACAGGACUCCUGUAGGGAGGUAGGGACAGAUUUUUUUGUCACUAGUGUAGGGCUUUAGCAUACACUAAAGUGCAGCUAGAAGUCCCCAUCAUAGGAGGACCCAGAGAAUGGCAGCCUCUGUAAACCUUGAAGGGUUGUCACUGGGAAUCCACUCAUCUGUUACCUGUUAUAGCAGAGUUCCUAGGCUUACAUCCUAGGAAUGUCAUCCAUGUGUCAUGGCCGAUUAAAAGAACAACUGAACCUA